CCUACGGGGGGCAGCAGUGGGGAAUAUUGGACAAUGGGGGCAACCCUGAUCCAGCCAUGCCGCGUGUGUGAAGAAGGCCCUCGGGUUGUAAAGCACUUUCAGUGAGGAAGAACGCCUGGUGGUUAAUACCCAUCAGGAAAGACGUCACUCACAGAAGAAGCACCGGCUAACUCCGUGCCAGCAGCCGCGGUAAUACGGAGGGUGCGAGCGUUAAUCGGAAUUACUGGGCGUAAAGCGCGCGUAGGUGGCUUGAUAAGCCGGUUGUGAAAGCCCCGGGCUCAACCUGGGAACGGCAUCCGGAACUGUCAAGCUAGAGUGCAGGAGAGGAAGGUAGAAUUCCCGGUGUAGCGGUGAAAUGCGUAGAGAUCGGGAGGAAUACCAGUGGCGAAGGCGGCCUUCUGGACUGACACUGACACUGAGGUGCGAAAGCGUGGGUAGCAAACAGGAUUAGAUACCCUUGUAGUC
rnacentral:rRNA from 1 species